CGCUUCCUACGGGGCGCCGCCGUGGGGUCUCUUUCCCCCUUUUGGCCCCCCUGAUGCAGCGACGCCGCGUGUGGGAAGACGGUCCUCUGGAUUGUAAACCACUGUCCCCAGGGACGAAGAUGACGGUACCUGGGGAGGAAGCUCCGGCUAACUACGUGCCAGCAGCCGCGGUAAUACGUAGGGAGCAAGCGUUGUCCGGAAUUACUGGGUGUAAAGGGAGCGUAGGCGGGAUGGCAAGUUGGGUGUUAAAUCUACCGGCUCAACUGGUAGUCGCACUCAAAACUGCUAUUCUUGAGUGAAGUAGA
rnacentral:rRNA from 1 species